UAUGACCACAUCAUGUUGAAACAUUGGUUCCCGUAUGAUCACUAAAGUUAAGCAGUGCCGAGACUGGUUAGUACCUCAAUAGAUGGCCACUUGGGAAUACCAGGAACUGUAAG